AGAAGGGCUUCCGAAGCGAACGUUUCGGGGGCCUUUUUCUUUUGC
rnacentral:antisense_RNA from 1 species